rfam:Paramecium tetraurelia chromosome undetermined scaffold_29, whole genome shotgun sequence.
GCCAUCUUCGUAUAGUGGUUAGUACUUAGCGUUGUGGCCGCUAAAGCCCAGGUUCAAUUCCUGGAGGUGGCA